CCAAGACCUCAACGCCAUAACAAGAAGACAAUAAUGGAGAUCAAUACAACAAAAAACCCUAGUCUCCAUUAAACCUAAGCCGCCGCCGCCGACCAGCCCUACAACCACCAGCGUCCAGCCCCACGUCAACCACCAACAACCCGCCGCCGCAUAGCACAGCCACCACCAGCCCCAUCCAUUUCCUUCUUCUUAGUCCAUAACACCCAAGAACCGCUGUCAACCCUUAAAACCCGCCAGAACAACUCGCACACAGCAGCCUAACAGCCACCUCCAACGCCACCGGCCACUCUACUUGCCGGAACCAGCCUACAAACGACCUCACCACUUCAUCUCCGCCGGAAACAAGACGCACCAACAGCCAACCAGCCAUCGUGAAAACCCAUCUCCCCCAUAGCAACUAAAACUGAAAAACCAGUUCACCCCACAUCUUCUUUUCGUCUUUUAACUCGCCGGAAUCGGUCACCGGCGAGUGGCAACGCUGCCAACAACUCCACUAGCGACUACACACAUGUACAUAGUCGAAAAACAAAAAAAACAGCAAAUUAGUAAGCUC
rnacentral:lncRNA from 1 species